AACGAAUGCACUAUAUUUUGUACAAAAGGGUUUUCGAAUGUCUACAUAACGACGCGUUAUGCUUUGACAGGAUCACUCUACACGUCACGCUGACGACAGGUCAUGGUAUAUUGUUCUACGAACCAAAAAAUGUUCAGUAUACUCCUACUAAUCUAAUUGAUUUUAUGAAAGUAUAAAUAGUAACGUAUUAAGAUUGUAAUGCAUAUUACAUACAUAAUGAUGUACAUUCUAAAUGGACUUGUUGUUUUUUACACGUGAAAAUUGUGAUUUCUAGAAUAAUUUCAGAAGUGCACGGAUGGCUGGAUUUUCAUCCAAGCAUAACGUCAGUCUGAAAAUGAUUUUAUUUUUAUUACAUUUUUGAAGGGGAGGACACGUGAUCAAACAAUAAGAGUACUCAAGAAGUAACGCGUAUUGUAACUUUGACGAUCAGAUUUCUAUUUUAAAACUUAAGAGAAGUAAUUUUAUAUCUGUGCAUUACUGCAUUAGGAAUAACUGUUGAAAAACAUCUAAACUCUAAAAUAUUUGAAAAAAAAGCAAACAAACGUAAAUUUUGUGGAAAAGUCAGUGUAAAUCAUCGUGUUCAAUAAUCACUAUGUAGUGUUCGAUCAAUGAUUAUUUAUUCUCAAAACACACCACCAGUACCUGAAGUCUACCAAGAGAAAAAAUAUGAAUCGAUCAAAGAGUGAAACAAAUUUUUAACAAAAAAACCCAUGAUAAAUAUUGAUCAGUCAUUUAUAUUUAUGCACAUUGCACAUCUGUGACGACCGACUGUUUCGCCUUUCUACGUACUAGGUUUGUCUAAACAACACAAUAAACGUUAAAAUUAUUCAAAAAUUCAAGUUAUUUUUAAACACGCAAUAUGCCAAUAUAUAUUGUUUAGUACACUCACCUAUUGGCUAUUUUAUUUAGCGUGUUUAUUAUGGUACGACGUGUUUACAGUGAAUAUAAAAAAAAUAAUCAUAAACCGUUAUGGUCGCUUUAAUAUGAUAUUUAUGCCUAGAUAUCAAAUACAAGACUUGAGAAGGGUCAAAGUACAUCAUAUCAGAUGAAAAUGUCCUGCAACCUACACAAAAUAACGACCAUUUUACACGGCGUUAAUUCGGUGACCCAUAAAAGUUCUAUUAGUAACAAACGGAUUUAAAAAAAGAAAAUUUAGAUCAGCCGCUGACUUGAA